CUCGCUGUGUGGAAACCUUCAUCGGUGCAGCCUCCCGCUGAGGAACCAGCAACUGCGUCGUCGACAUCUGAAGAACUCGCUCGAGAGCUUUCAAAGACCAAGAGAGUUCGAAUUGCGACGGAAGUAGUCGUUCUGGAAGACGAGAGCAAACCCAGAAAGAAGAAGAAAAAGGACGUUGGAAAAUGAAACGAGCAGCAAUAAAAAAAAACAUCUUUCGAAAA